rnacentral:lncRNA from 1 species
GCAACAGCUGCUAUCCCCUCCCCUCUCGAUGCUAAACCCAUGCUCGACGUCUCUGUCGUAAUGUCCUGUCCCACGUUGAACUCCACUCAAGACGUCUGCUCAUGGAUCUCUACUUGAUCACCUGCUUAACCUAACAGAGGCAAUACAGUGCGUCUACUUUCUGUGUGACAGCUACACAUUUUACCCGUUCACCACAGGGUCCUAGUACCCCCAAAACUUCACCUGAGAAAACUACCCUCACUGUCACUGAUCUUGAAUUAUUCCCCUUCUCGGAUCCAGCCCUCCUCUGUUCCCCUUUCCUUUCUUCUCCUGCCCUAUCCUGAACUGUUGGUUUCUCCAUGGCCUUCUCGUCUCGUUUCUCAUUUUGGGAGAAAAAGGGAAGUACAGUUUCAUGCUGUUUGCUCAUGAACUUAUCGUGUGUGCAGGACAGGUGAAAUCAAACCAGUUCCUAUUACCUUGAAAACUCCUGCUUUGUCUUAAAAGAGUCCUUAAGUACUUAAAGGGAUAGUUUACCCAAAAACAAAAAGACCCACUAUUUA